UGGGGUAUCGCCAAGCGGUAAGGCACCGGUUUUUGAUACCGGCAUUCCCUAGUUCGAAUCCAGGUACCCCAGCCA
rnacentral:tRNA from 3 species